rnacentral:rRNA from 1 species
UACGUAGGGGCCUAGCGUUGUCCGGAAUUAUUGGGCGUAAAGAGCUCGUAGGCGGUUCGGCAAGUCGGAUGUGAAAUCUCCACGCUUAACGUGGAGGGGCCAUUCGAAACUGCUGUGACUCGAGUCCGGUAGGGGAGUGUGGAAUUCCCGGUGUAGCGGUGAAAUGCGCAGAUAUCGGGAGGAACACCAGUAGCGAAGGCGGCACUCUGGGCCGGUACUGG